GAUGAACGCUGGCGGCGUGCCUAAUACAUGCAAGUCGAGCGAACGGACGAGAAGCUUGCUUCUCUGAUGUUAGCGGCAGACGGGUGAGUAACACGUGGAUAACCUACCUAUAAGACUGGGAUAACUUCGGGAAACCGGAGCUAAUACCGGAUAAUAUUUUGAACCGCAUGGUUCAAAAGUGAAAGACGGUCUUGCUGUCACUUAUAGAUGGAUCCGCGCUGCAUUAGCUAGUUGGUAAGGUAACGGCUUACCAAGGCAACGAUGCAUAGCCGACCUGAGAGGGUGAUCGGCCACACUGGAACUGAGACACGGUCCAGACUCCUACGGGAGGCAGCAGUAGGGAAUCUUCCGCAAUGGGCGAAAGCCUGACGGAGCAACGCCGCGUGAGUGAUGAAGGUCUUCGGAUCUGAAAACUCUGUUAUUAGGGAAGAACAUAUGUGUAAGUAACUGUGCACAUCUUGACGGUACCUAAUCAGAAAGCCACGGCUAACUACGUG
rnacentral:rRNA from 1 species